UGAGACGGGCUUAGGCUAUACAUAUAUUAUUAAUAUUAGUUACACUGUUGAUCUUUUUGUUGUUUGUUGCAUAUUUGUUUCCAUUCACUCAAAAGUAAAAAUAUAAAUUAGUGAGCAUCAGUUCAUACUACAUCUACAAAAAUGAUCUUGUUUUUGUCUGGACUUCUGGAUUAAAUUAAGAUUUACAAUUUUAGCUUGUUACCAUGGUUACCAAAUGAAAGGAAAGUACAGUAUUAGAAUCACUGGUGUACAUGUAGGUGCGGAUGUCAGGCAAAAAGAACUGGUAUCAAUUGCAAAGAACUGAAAAGUAAAGAAACAGAACCAAAGGAACAUUAAUUUUUAAUUAAUACAAUAUUGAGCUCAAA